GGGGGUGUUCCGGAUUCGACCUUUUGUUGGACCGUCUGGCUGCAUGUCGAGGAUGAUGGUUGGCCUCGCAAAAAUAUCCAUCACACACAUAAAUGGCACACAUGAAGAAAUGCCUCUAGCUGCAUAAUGGCAGCUACGUCCCCUCUUUUGAUACUCGCUAAAUUGAGGGGGCGACGACUAGCGAGCAUAGUUUGGGCGGCUGUCUGUUGCGCCCAAUCUGUACUUCAUCAGCGGGCUGGCUUAUCCAAGCAGCGCGGUUUCGUCGCGGCUAGAUCGGCGAGAUUAAAAACGAGAACAAACAUGUAGACGCCUUUCGUGAAGGCUCAAGGGACGCGGGUUCGACUCCCGCCACCUCCACCA
rnacentral:tmRNA from 1 species